CCCUUAGAUGUUCUGGGCAGCACGCGCGCUACAAUGGUCUUCGCAAACGGAUGCAUUCUCGAAGGAGAAUGCCAAUCUUGGAAUCUAUGCCUUGGUCGGGACAGUUGCUUGCAAUUUUUCGACUCGAACCAGGAAUUCCUUGUAAUCGUGAUUCAUCACAUCACGAUGAAUACGUCCCUGCCCUUUGUACACACCGCCCGUCGCUGCCCGGAACUGAGCCGUUUCGAGAAGACUGAGGAUUGCUGACUUGAGGCUCUCGCGGGCUUCUAGUCGGUGAAAAUCAAUUUAAUCGCAGCGGCUUGAACCGGGCAAAAGUCGUAACA
rnacentral:rRNA from 1 species